UCCUACGGGACGCAGCAGUGGGGGAUAUUGCACAAUGGGGGAAACCCUGAUGCAGCGACGCCGCGUGGGUGAAGAAGCGCCUCGGCGCGUAAAGCCCUGUCAGCAGGGAAGAAAAUGACGGUACCUGAAGAAGAAGCCCCGGCUAACUACGUGCCAGCAGCCGCGGUAAUACGUAGGGAGCGAGCGUUGUCCGGAAUUACUGGGUGUAAAGGGAGCGUAGGCGGGGAUGCAAGUUGGGUGUCAAAACUACCGGCUCAACUGGUAGUCGCACGCAACACGGCAGCUCUUGAGUGAAGUAGAGGCAG
rnacentral:rRNA from 1 species